UCCCAACCCAAUGUGAACGUUACCAAACUGUUGCCUCGGCGGGGUCACGCCCCGGGUGCGUAAAAGCCCCGGAACCAGGCGCCCGCCGGAGGAACCAACCAAACUCUUUCUGUAGUCCCCUCGCGGACGUAUUUCUUACAGCUCUGAGCAAAAAUUCAAAAUGAAUCAAAACUUUCAACAACGGAUCUCUUGGUUCUGGCAUCGAUGAAGAACGCAGCGAAAUGCGAUAAGUAAUGUGAAUUGCAGAAUUCAGUGAAUCAUCGAAUCUUUGAACGCACAUUGCGCCCGCCAGUAUUCUGGCGGGCAUGCCUGUCCGAGCGUCAUUUCAACCCUCGAACCCCUCCGGGGGAUCGGCGUUGGGGAUCGGGACCCCUCACCGGGUGCCGGCCCUGAAAUACAGUGGCGGUCUCGCCGCAGCCUCUCCUGCGCAGUAGUUUGCACAACUCGCACCGGGAGCGCGGCGCGUCCACGUCCGUAAAACACCCAACUUCUGAAAUGUUGACCUCGGAUCAGGUAGGAAUACCCGCUGAACUUAAGCA
rnacentral:rRNA from 1 species